rnacentral:rRNA from 1 species
AGAGUUUGAUCCUGGCUCAGAAUCAACGCUGGCGGCGUGCCUCAGACAUGCAAGUCGAAUGAUUAAACUCGCCUUCGGGUGAGAUAUAAAGUGGCGCACGGGUGAGUAACACGUAGGUAAUCUGCCUUUGAGUGGGGAAUAACGUUCGGAAACGAACGCUAAUACCGCAUAAUGCAGCGGCACCGCAAGGUGAAUGGUUGUUAAAGGAGCAAUCCGCUUAAAGAGGAGCCUGCGGCAGAUUAGGUAGUUGGUAAGGUAAUGGCUUACCAAGCCUGCGAUCUGUAACCGACCUGAGAGGGUGGUCGGUCACACUGACACUGAAUAACGGGUCAGACUCCUACGGGAGGCAGCAGUCGGGAAUUUUGGGCAAUGGGCGAAAGCCUGACCCAGCAACGCCGCGUGAAGGAUGAAGUAUUUCGGUAUGUAAACUUCGAAAGAAUGGGAAGAAUCAAUGACGGUACCAUUUAUAAGGUCCGGCUAACUACGUGCCAGCAGCCGCGGUAAUACGUAGGGACCAAGCGUUGUUCGGAUUUACUGGGCGUAAAGGGCGCGUAGGCGGCGUGUUAAGUCAGCUGUGAAAUCUCCGAGCUUAACUCGGAACGGUCAGCUGAUACUGAUGUGCUAGAGUGCAGAAGGGGCAAUCGGAAUUCUUGGUGUAGCGGUGAAAUGCGUAGAUAUCAAGAGGAACACCUGAGGUGAAGACGGGUUGCUGGGCUGACACUGACGCUGAGGCGCGAAAGCUAGGGUAGCAAACGGGAUUAGAUACCCCCGUAGUCC